rnacentral:rRNA from 1 species
UCUACGGGAGGCAGCAGUGAGGAAUAUUGGUCAAUGGGCGCGAGCCUGAACCAGCCAAGUAGCGUGAAGGAUGACUGCCCUACGGGUUGUAAACUUCUUUUAUCAAGGAAUAAAGUGAGGCACGUGUGCCUUUAUGUAUGUACUUUAUGAAUAAGGAUCGGCUAACUCCGUGCCAGCAGCCGCGGUAAUACGGAGGAUCCGAGCGUUAUCCGGAUUUAUUGGGAUUAAAGGGAGCGUAGAUGGGUUGUUAAGUCAGGUGUGAAAGUUUGCGGCUCAACCGUAAAACUGCAGUUGAUACUGGCAGUCUUGAGUACAGUUGAGGUAGGCGGAAUGCGUGGUGUAGCGGUGAAAUGCUUAGAUAUCACGAAGAACUCCGAUUGCGAAGGCAGCUUACU